GUAACCGGCUCACCAAGGCGGCGACGGGUAGCCGGCCUGAGAGGGUGGACGGCCACAUUGGGACUGAGAUACGGCCCAGACUCCUACGGGAGGCAGCAGUGGGGAAUAUUGCACAAUGGGCGCAAGCCUGAUGCAGCGACGCCGCGUGAGGGAUGACGGCCUUCGGGUUGUAAACCUCUUUCAGCAGGGAAGAAGCGCAAGUGACGGUACCUGCAGAAGAAGCGCCGGCUAACUACGUGCCAGCAGCCGCGGUAAUACGUAGGGCGCGAGCGUUGUCCGGAAUUAUUGGGCGUAAAGAGCUCGUAGGCGGUUUGUUGCGUCGGCUGUGAAAUCCCGAGGCUCAACCUCGGGUCUGCAGUCGAUACGAGCAAACUAGAGUGUUGCAGGGGAGACUGGAAUUCCUGGUGUAGCGGUGAAAUGCGCAGAUAUCAGGAGGAACACCGGUGGCGAAGGCGGGUCUCUGGGCCGAUACUGACGCUGAGGAGCGAAAGCGUGGGGAGCGAACAGGAUUAGAUACCCUGGUAGUCCACGCCGUAAACGAUGGGCGCU
rnacentral:rRNA from 1 species